UACGGGAGGCAGCAGUGGGGAAUAUUGCACAAUGGGCGCAAGCCUGAUGCAGCCAUGCCGCGUGUAUGAAGAAGGGCCUUCGGGUUGUAAAGUACUUUCAGUCGUGAGGAAGGUGUUAAGGUUAAUAACCUUAGCAAUUGACGUUAGCGACAGAAGAAGCACCGGCUAACUCCGUGCCAGCAGCCGCGGUAAUACGGAGGGUGCGAGCGUUAAUCGGAAUUACUGGGCGUAAAGGGCACGCAGGCGGUUAAUUAAGUUGGAUGUGAAAUCCCCGGGCUUAACCUGGGAAUGGCAUUCAAGACUGGUUAGCUAGAGUCUUGUAGAGGGGGUAGAAUUCCAUGUGUAGCGGUGAAAUGCGUAGAGAUGUGGAGGAAUACCGGUGGCGAAGGCGGCCCCUGGGACAAAGACUGACGCUCAUGUGCGAAAGCGUGGGGAGCAAACGAGGAUUAGAUACC
rnacentral:rRNA from 1 species